rnacentral:rRNA from 1 species
GACGAACGCUGGCGGCGUGCUUAACACAUGCAAGUCGAACGGAAAGGCCCUGCUUUUGUGGGGUGCUCGAGUGGCGAACGGGUGAGUAACACGUGAGUAACCUACCCUUGACUUUGGGAUAACUUCAGGAAACUGGGGCUAAUACCGGAUAGGAGCUCCUGCUGCAUGGUGGGGGUUGGAAAGUUUCGGCGGUUGGGGAUGGACUCGCGGCUUAUCAGCUUGUUGGUGGGGUAGUGGCUUACCAAGGCUUUGACGGGUAGCCGGCCUGAGAGGGUGACCGGCCACAUUGGGACUGAGGUACGGCCCAGACUCCUACGGGAGGCAGCAGUGGGGAAUAUUGCACAAUGGGCGGAAGCCUGAUGCAGCAACGCCGCGUGCGGGAUGACGGCCUUCGGGUUGUAAACCGCUUUCGCCUGUGACGAAGCGUGAGUGACGGUAAUGGGUAAAGAAGCACCGGCUAACUACGUG